AUUUACCAUCCAGCAAAGUAAAGAAAGUUCAUAGAUUGAAACAUUGAGAUUGAAAAUGAGCAACACACUCAAGAAAGUUUGUCAAUCUUGCUGGGUUUUCGUCAAACUUGAUGGUUGAUGCAUAAAACCUGUGACCAAACAAAACCAGAGAUUAACAUUUUUAUAAUAACCCAUUAAAGCAUACAAUGAGAGGAUCAAAAUAAUUAAAGCAUACAUUGAAAUCAAUAGAAUAGAAAAAACAAUAAAGUAAACUACAAAAUAAGAUGGAUCUUACUUAAUUCUUGUACACAUGAAUAAGCCAAUAAACUGAAUUUCUUAUACAAACUUUAUCUAUUUAUGUCAAUCUAAAUGAACAAACAAAAACCAAAAUCUUACAUUUAUGAGUAUAACCAAAAUCUUCUUCGGUNNNNNNNNNNNNNNNNNNNNNNNNNNNNUUCGUAGCUUUAUUUCAUCCAAAUCCUUCUCCAACCUCUCGUGCGCUCUGUUUCUGUCUCUUCUGCUCUCUUUCUUCUUCUAUUGAAAUUCCAUUUUUGUUUUCCAAUUCUUUCCACAUCUCAUCUUUGAAUCUCAGUCAUAUUUAAAUCUAAGGGUUUUGGUGUUUUGAGAAAUGGAAUUGGAAGCAAAUUAGAUAGAUAGAUAGAGAGAGUGUGGAAGAUGAAACCAAAGAAGAAUUGUGAGUGGGAGAAUUUGAAAUUUGAAACCAAAGAGAGAGGUUGGAGAAUGGAAGCAGGAAUGUGAUGUUGCUUUCAUUGUCUGAACUCUUGAGUUGUUCACAUGUGAGACAGUAAAAGGUAUUGAACAAUUGUAGCGAUUUUCAUCAAUUUGUGAGGGUUUUUCUGGAUCAAUUGCGUGGAGGGAGAAAGAGAUUUCCAGAAAUGUCUUUAUGCGUGGUUUGUUUCUUUGGAUUCCACUUUUCUAGGUUUGUUUUGUUUUGUGAGGGAAAGUUUGUUUUUC
rnacentral:lncRNA from 1 species